ACACUCCUGCGGGAGGCAGCAGUGGGGAAUUUUGGACAAUGGGGGCAACCCUGAUCCAGCAAUGCCGCGUGAGUGAAGAAGGCCUUCGGGUUGUAAAGCUCUUUUGUCAGGGAAGAAACGGUGGUGGCGAAUAACUACUACUAAUGACGGUACCUGAAGAAUAAGCACCGGCUAACUACGUGCCAGCAGCCGCGGUACUACGUAGGGUGCAAGCGUUCAUCGGAAUUACUGGGCGUAAAGCGUGCGCAGGCGGUUGUGUAAGUCAGAUGUGAAAUCCCCGGGCUCAACCUGGGAAUUGCAUUUGAGACUGCACUGCUAGAGUGUGUCAGAGGGGGGUAGAAUUCCACGUUUAGCAGUGAAAUGCGUAGAUAUGUGGAGGAAUACCGAUGGCGAAGGCAGCCCCCUGGGAUAACACUGACGCUCAUGCACGAAAGCGUGGGGAGCAAACAGGAUUAGAAACCCCUGUAGUCC
rnacentral:rRNA from 1 species